rnacentral:rRNA from 1 species
UAUGGAUUGUGCCAGCAGCCGCGGUAAAACGUAGGGUGCAAGCGUUGUCCGGAAUUACUGGGUGUAAAGGGAGCGCAGGCGGACCGGCAAGUUGGAAGUGAAAACUAUGGGCUCAACCCAUAAAUUGCUUUCAAAACUGCUGGCCUUGAGUAGUGCAGAGGUAGGUGGAAUUCCCGGUGUAGCGGUGGAAUGCGUAGAUAUCGGGAGGAACACCAGUGGCGAAGGCGACCUACUGGGCACCAACUGACGCUGAGGCUCGAAAGCAUGGGUAGCAAACAGG